rnacentral:rRNA from 1 species
UAGGGAAUCUUCCGCAAUGGACGCAAGUCUGACGGAGCAACGCCGCGUGAGUGAAGAAGGAUUUCGGUUCGUAAAACUCUGUUGUUAGAGAAGAACAGCGCAUAGAGUAACUGUUAUGCGUGUGACGGUAUCUAACCAGAAAGCCACGGCUAACUACGUGCCAGCAGCCGCGGUAAUACGUAGGUGGCAAGCGUUGUCCGGAUUUAUUGGGCGUAAAGCGAGCGCAGGCGGUCAAUUAAGUCUGAUGUGAAAGCCCCCGGCUCAACCGGGGAGGGUCAUUGGAAACUGGUUGACCUGAGUGCAGAAGAGGAGAGUGGAAUUCCAUGUGUAGCGGUGAAAUGCGUAGAUAUAUGGAGGAACACCAGUGGCGAAGGCGACUCUCUGGUCUGUAACUGACGCUGAGGUUCGAAAGCGUGGGUAGCAAACAGG